UACGUAGGGGGCUAGCGUUGUUCGGAAUGACUGGGCGUAAAGGGCGCGUAGGCGGCUUGUACAGUCAGGUGUGAAAUUCCCGGGCUCAACCUGGGGGCUGCACUUGAUACGUAUGGACUGGAGUGGGGAAGAGGGUCGUGGAAUUCCCAGUGUAGAGGUGAAAUUCGUAGAUAUUGGGAAGAACACCGGUGGCGAAGGCGGCGACCUGGUCCUUGACUGACGCUGAGGCGCGAAAGCGUGGGGAGCAAACAGG
rnacentral:rRNA from 1 species